rnacentral:tRNA from 1 species
GCCCCCAUGGUCUAGCUGGUUAGGGCAUCGGUCUCAUAACGUUUAGAUUAUGAUCUAGUCUGCAGAUUAGACAUCCGAAAAUCGUGGGUUCGAUCCCCACUGGAGGCA